rnacentral:rRNA from 1 species
GAUGAACGCUGGCGGUAUGCUUAACACAUGCAAGUCGAACGGUACCUUCGGGUAUAGUGGCGGACGGGUGAGUAACGCGUGAGAAUCUAUCUUCAGGUCGGGGACAACAGUUAGAAAUGACUGCUAAUACCGGAUGUGCCGAAAGGUAAAAGAUUUACUGCCUGAAAAAGAGCUCGCGUCAGAUUAGCUAGUAGGUGGUGUAAGAGACUACCUAGGCUUCGAUCUGUAGCUGGUCUGAGAGGACGAUCAGCCACACUGGAACUGAGACACGGUCCAGACUCCUACGGGAGGCAGCAGUGGGGAAUUUUCCGCAAUGGGCGAAAGCCUGACGGAGCAAUACCGCGUGAGGGACGAAGGCUCUUGGGUCGUAAACCUCUUUUCUCAAGGAAGAUUCAGACGGUACUUGAGGAAUAAGCAUCGGCUAACUCUGUG